rnacentral:rRNA from 1 species
AACGAACGCUGGCGGCAGGCCUAACACAUGCAAGUCGAACGAAGGACCGGAGCUUGCUCCGACUCCUUAGUGGCGCACGGGUGAGUAACACGUGGGAAUCUACCUUGAAGUGAGGAAUAACUUUUGGAAACGAAAGCUAAUACCGCAUAAUCCCUGAGGGGGAAAGGCUUCGGCCGCUUUUAGAUGAGCCCGCGUCAGAUUAGCUAGUUGGUGGGGUAAUGGCCUACCAAGGCGACGAUCUGUAGCUGGUCUGAGAGGAUGAUCAGCCACACUGGAACUGAGACACGGUCCAG